CUAGGAUGAACGCUGGCGGCGUGCUUAACACAUGCAAGUCGAACGGAGUUUUAACGGAAGUUUCGGAUGGAAGUUUAGAAACUUAGUGGCGGACGGGUGAGUAACGCGUGGGUAACCUGCCUCAUACAGGGGGAUAACAGUUAGAAAUGACUGCUAACACCGCAUAAUAUAGCGAAACCGCAUGAUUUUGCUAUCAAAUAUUUAUAGGUAUGAGAUGGGCCCGCGUCUGAUUAGCUAGUUGGUGGGGUAAAAGCCUACCAAGGCGACGAUCAGUAGCCGGCUUGAGAGAGUGACCGGCCACAUUGGGACUGAGACACGGCCCAAACUCCUACGGGAGGCAGCAGUGGGGAAUAUUGGACAAUGGGGGAAACCCUGAUCCAGCCGACGCCGCGUGAGUGAAGAAGUAUUUCGGUAUGUAAAGCUCUAUCAGCAGGGAAGAUAAUGACAGUACCUGACUAAGAAGCCCCGGCUAACUACGUGCCAGCCGCCGC
rnacentral:rRNA from 1 species